UAUUGGUGUGGCAGAAUAUUGCACUAGAUUUAAGCUCUAAAUAUAGACCUUCCGUCUCAUCAAUA
rnacentral:tRNA from 1 species